rnacentral:rRNA from 1 species
AGUGAAUAGAUACCCGGGUAGUCCACGCUGUAAACGAUGAUUACUCGAUGUUGGCGAUACACAGUCAGCGUCUGAGCGAAAGCAAUAAGUAAUCCACCUGGGGAGUACGAUCGCAAGAUUGAAACUCAAAGGAAUUGACGGGGCCCGCACAAGCGGAGGAGCAUGUGGUUUAAUUCGAUGAUACGCGAGGAACCUUACCUGGGCUCGAACGUAAGAUGACUGUAGGUGAAAGCUUACAUCUCUUCGGAGCAUUUUACGAGGUGCUGCAUGGUUGUCGUCAGCUCGUGCCGUGAGGUGUCGGGUUAAGUCCCAUAACGAGCGCAACCCCUACCUUUAGUUGCCAACAGGUCAUGCUGGGGACUCUAAAGGAGCUGCCUACGCAAGUAGUGAGGAAGGCGGGGAUGACGUCAAAUCAGCACGGCCCUUACGUCCAGGGCUACACACGUGCUACAAUGGCCGAUACAGAGGGCAGCUACCUGGUGACAGGAUGCAAAUCUCCAAAGUCGGUCUCAGUUC